ACCAACAGGUUCGCUCCGCAGCGGACUCCCAACAACCCUCUAAAUAAAUAAAGAAAAGAAGAGAGAGCAAGAGAGCGCCACCACCAUCGUCAGAAACACAAUCUCCCUUCGCCUCCUCGAGAGGUCCGCCCCUUCUCCCUCUCAAUCCGAGACCCAUAAGAGAUACUGAAACCAAAAGCGCUACUCCCCAUCUACCGAAGAGCUAUAGUUGGUGGUGAUUUUGCUCCGAAGGGGAGAGAAAGAGGGAGUUUUGAGUUAGGAAGAUAAGGGGUAGCGAUGGAGUCGGCAGCGGCGGCGGCGGCGGCAAUCUCCCGCAUCGGGCUGGCGGGGCUGGCGGUGAUGGGACAGAACUUGGCCCUCAACAUCGCGGAGAAGGGCUUCCCCAUCUCCGUCUAUAACCGCACGGCCUCCCGCGUCGAUGACACCCUCCACCGCGCCAGGGAGGAAGGCGGCCUUCCUCUCACCGGCCACUACGAUCCCCGGGACUUCGUUCUCUCCAUCCGGCGGCCCCGCUCGAUUAUCAUCCUUGUCAAGGCCGGCUCCCCUGUCGACCAGACGAUCGCCACCCUCGCCCGCUUCCUCGAGCCCGGCGACUGCAUUAUUGACGGCGGCAACGAGUGGUACGAGAACACGGAGCGACGCAUCGCGGAGGUCUCCGCCUCCGGCCUCCUCUAUAUCGGCAUGGGCGUCUCCGGUGGCGAGGAUGGCGCCCGCAACGGCCCCUCCCUCAUGCCAGGCGGCUCCUUCCAAGCUUACGGCAACAUUCAGGAUGUCCUCGCCAAGGUCGCCGCCCAGGUCGAUGAUGGCCCCUGCGUCACCUACAUCGGCGAAGGCGGCUCUGGCAACUUCGUCAAGAUGGUACACAACGGCAUCGAGUACGGCGACAUGCAGCUCAUCGCCGAGGCAUACGACGUCUUGAAGAACGUCGGCGGUCUGUCAAACGCGGAGCUUGCGGCCACCUUCGCCGACUGGAACCGCGGGGAGCUCGAGAGCUUCCUCAUCGAGAUCACGGCCGAUAUCUUCGGCGUCAGGGACGAGUUCGGCGAAGGGGAGCUCGUGGACAAGAUACUGGAUAAGACCGGGAUGAAGGGGACCGGAAAAUGGACGGUGCAGCAGGCGGCCGAACUCUCAAUCGCUGCUCCCACGAUAGCCGCUUCGCUCGAUUCACGCUACCUGAGCGGGUUGAAGGAGGAGAGAGAGGAGGCGGACAGAGUCUUUAAGGAAGUGGGUGUUUUGGGCGAAGCGCUGGGCAGAAAGAGGGGAAUCGACAAGAAGGCUCUGGUGGACGACGUGAGACAAGCUCUCUACGCCUCCAAGAUCUGUAGCUACGCACAGGGGAUGAAUCUGCUGCGGGCGAAGAGCACGGAGAAGGGGUGGAACCUGAACCUCGGCGAGCUUGCGAGGAUCUGGAAGGGCGGGUGCAUCAUCCGAGCCGUGUUCCUCGAUCGCAUUAAGAAGGCAUACGAGCGGAACCCCCGGCUCGCCAACUUGAUGGUGGAUCCGGAGUUUGCUAGAGAGAUGGUACAGAGGCAGGCAGCAUGGAGAAGAGUGGUGGGUCUGGCGAUCGAGGCGGGAAUCAGUACGCCGGGGAUGAGUGCGAGCCUGGCGUACUUUGAUACUUACAGAAGGGCCAGGCUGCCGGCGAACCUCGUUCAGGCGCAGAGGGACCUGUUCGGAGCGCACACUUACGAGCGGGUCGACCGUCCGGGAUCGUUCCAUACAGAGUGGACAAAGCUCGCCAGGGAGAGCAAGGCUGGAGCUGGUUCUCUCAACUAAAACGAAAUGAGAUGAACGUUUGAGGAUGCAAGCAAGAAAGUGUAAAACAGGUAGCGUAUUCAAGUGAUCUGCGAACAUGAACUCACAGCAUCAGGAAAGUUUCAAGGUCUAUGAGCAGUAGGAAGUCAGUGGAAAUGCAACUGGAGUUGCUUUCAUGUGUUUAUUGGAUGGUCCGAAAACUUUUCGGAUGGAAGUAGCAAAAGUAGGUGAUUGGAUGGAAAGUAUUUUACAGAUGCCAAAACAUGUGGAUAUUAGCAAGUUCCGGUGCUGGACAAUGAAGCACAUAACAAGGAUUACUGCCAGUCCCAAUAAGGUUCUCUUCAACUUAUCGCUUUCAGUAGUUGUAUCUGAGGGACUCGAAUUUGGAUUGCAGUUUGCCUAAAAAUUGUGGAUUAAGCAGACCUGCUGUUGACUGACCAGGCACUUGUUCUUUCCCUUAUUUUAUGGCCAAUUAUGAGCAGUGAACUUGGUUUCGACUUUUGUGGGCUCUGCUGCAUUAACCCCUGCUUUGGGGAUUGUUAUAUGCCAGUAACCUGCUUACUUGAAUAUCGGAUAUGAUCACCAAGGUGCUGUACGGGAACUCUUGUAUGGUAUUUGCUUCUGUAAUGCCAAAUCCUGGUGAUUGAAUGCAGCCAUACAUAUAUUUUUUUUGGUUGAA